GGCGGGGGCGUGGGUGG
rnacentral:miRNA from 1 species